AGCAGGCUCCCCACUGAGCAGGGAGCCCUUCGCGGCGCUCCAUCCCAGGACCCAGGGAUCGAGACCCCAUGCGGAGGCAGACGCCUAACCGUCGGAGCCGGAGCCACCGAGGCGCCCCUCACUCUGGGAUGUUAGUCUGAGCGCGGUCGGAAAGUUGGAGGGUUUUGUGCACGGGCGACCAUUGAUCCUAUUCACAUCUUCAAGAUUACUUGGCGCUGCGUGGGGCAUGGAUUGCGGGAUUGCAGAGGGAGAGGCGGGAAGAAUGCUUCGAGACCCAGCCUCUCAUCGCACUACCAGCUCCGGUGUCCCCACUCCACGGCUGAGCGCCAGAACCUUCCACUCCGGCUCCAUGAACAUCCACCUUCCAGGUGUCCUUCCUCGCUUGAGGCUCACCCGGCCGUGCGGGCACCCCACCCUGGCGCUCGGGGCCGCCGGGAGGGAAGGUUGCCGGAAGGCCACGGUGCGGGUGCUACUGAGGUCUCUGCGGUGGGCAGUUUGCGCUCAGUUGCAGGGGUACCUUCUGAGGCGCCGAAGGGGGGAGGCAGAGAGGCACCUGCCGCCAGCCGCCACCCGCCGUGGGCGCUGCCCCCACAGGCUGUAACUGCAGGGGUCCCGGAGCAGAGUGAAGCCCGCUCAGGGGAGAGCCUGAUGGCAUCCUGAGCCCCGGGGACCCCGGCUGCCGAUUUGGCUGCGAUCGGAGACCUCAGCCAUUGGGUCUUCAGCGACGUUGCUCCGUCCCUCCUGCUGUCUCCCCGUUCUGGAUGGUCGACUCCCCUCGUGCCUGAUGGUCGCAGGCAGUUUCCGUCUCUCGGUCUCUUGGUGCUGCGCUCCUGGGGAUUCCUCGGCUCCUCUUCGCGUUCCUGGCGGCUCUCUCCAGCUCUGCUCCGUGAAGAUGGUCAGCCCCCCAUUUGAAUUUGUAGCUGUGAUUCUAAUUUCCCAUGUUCCUGAUGGGCUUGUUACCUGACGUGCUCUUACCUCGCGACCUUCUGCGGUAUCGGGGUUGGGGUCCCUUCGGU